rnacentral:rRNA from 1 species
AGCAGCCGCGGUAAUUCCAGCUCCAAUAGCGUAUAUUAAAGUUGUUGCAGUUAAAAAGCUCGUAGUUGAAUUUCGGGAUCGACAGGUUGGUCGCGCCUUCGGUGUGUACUGGUCUAGUCGGUUUCUCCCUUCUGACGAACCACGAUGUCAUUAAUUUGGUGUCGUGGGAAAUCAGGACUGUUACUUUGAAAAAAAUUAGAGUGUUUAAAGCAGGCAUUAGCUUGAAUACAUUAGCAUGGAAUAAUGAAAUAGGACGUUUGAUCCUAUUUUGUUGGUUUCUAGGAUCGACGUAAUGAUUAAUAGGGAUAGUUGGGGGCAUUAGUAUUCAAUUGUCAGAGGUGAAAUUCUUGGAUUUAUUGAAGACUAACUACUGCGAAAGCAUUUGCCAAGGAUGUUUUCAUUAAUCAAGAACGAAAGUUAAGGGGAUCGAAGACGAUCAGAUACCGUCGU